rnacentral:rRNA from 1 species
CUUAACACAUGCAAGUCGAGGGGCAGCAUUUCAGUUUGCUUGCAAACUGGAGAUGGCGACCGGCGCACGGGUGAGUAACACGUAUCCAACCUGCCGAUAACUCGGGGAUAGCCUUUCGAAAGAAAGAUUAAUACCCGAUGGUAUAAUAUAACCGCAUGGUUUUAUUAUUAAAGAAUUUCGGUUAUCGAUGGGGAUGCGUUCCAUUAGGCAGUUGGUGAGGUAACGGCUCACCAAACCUUCGAUGGAUAGGGGUUCUGAGAGGAAGGUCCCCCACAUUGGAACUGAGACACGGUCCAAACUCCUACGGGAGGCAGCAGUGAGGAAUAUUGGUCAAUGGGCGCAGGCCUGAACCAGCCAAGUAGCGUGAAGGAUGACUGCCCUAUGGGUUGUAAACUUCUUUUAUAUGGGAAUAAAGUUUUCCACGUGUGGAAUUUUGUAUGUACCAUAUGAAUAAGGAUCGGCUAACUCCGUGCCAGCAGCCGCGGUAAUACGGAGGAUCCGAGCGUUAUCCGGAUUUAUUGGGUUUAAAGGGAGCGUAGGUGGACAGUUAAGUCAGUUGUAAAAGUUUGCGGCUCAACCGUAAAAUUGCAGUUGAUACUGGCUGUCUUGAGUACAGUAGAGGUGGGCGGAAUUCGUGGUGUAGCGGUGAAAUGCUUAGAUAUCACGAAGAACUCCGAUUGCGAAGGCAGCUCACUGGACUGCAACUGACACUGAUGCUCGAAAGUGUGGGUAUCAAACAGGAUUAGAUACCCUGGUAGUCCACACAGUAAACGAUGAAUACUCGCUGUUUGCGAUAUACAGUAAGCGGCCAAGCGAAAGCAUUAAGUAUUCCACCUGGGGAGUACGCCGGCAACGGUGAAACUCAAAGGAAUUGACGGGGGCCCGCACAAGCGGAGGAACAUGUGGUUUAAUUCGAUGAUACGCGAGGAACCUUACCCGGGCUUAAAUUGCAUUUGAAUAUAUUGGAAACAGUAUAGCCGUAAGGCAAAUGUGAAGGUGCUGCAUGGUUGUCGUCAGCUCGUGCCGUGAGGUGUCGGCUUAAGUGCCAUAACGAGCGCAACCCUUAUCUUUAGUUACUAACAGGUCAUGCUGAGGACUCUAGAGAGACUGCCGUCGUAAGAUGUGAGGAAGGUGGGGAUGACGUCAAAUCAGCACGGCCCUUACGUCCGGGGCUACACACGUGUUACAAUGGGGGGUACAGAAGGCAGCUAGCGGGUGACCGUAUGCUAAUCCCAAAAGCCUCUCUCAGUUCGGAUCGAAGUCUGCAACCCGACUUCGUGAAGCUGGAUUCGCUAGUAAUCGCGCAUCAGCCACGGCGCGGUGAAUACGUUCCCGGGCCUUGUACACACCGCCCGUCAAGCCAUGGGAGCCGGGGGUACCUGAAGUACGUAACCGCAAGGAUCGUCCUAGGGUAAAACUGGUGACUGGGGCUAAGUCAUAA